AGAAACAAAAGGAACUUAGUCUUUUCUGCACGAGUCUGAAGACAGAAAAUGUGCCGUCAAUCUGUCAGAACAGCUGUGGCUGAAGACAUCGACCUGCUUUUAAACCAUCUAGUUUCGCUCAGGCGUUGAAGUAAGACGUAAAUCACAAGACAGGGGAGAUGAAAACAAGAGACGGGGUGGCAAAAGCUAAAAACAUGAACUGUUUUGUCUUGCAUAAAGACUACUCAAACAAAGAAAAUGGGGUCCCAGUGCUCAAAGGGGAUAGUUCCCCUUUGCUUGGAUUAGAGGGACUUGGGGAGACAGACGGGUUAAAACCAGUGAGAAACACUCCACCCUGCCCCCUACAGCAGAGAGUAAAGGUCAUCAGCUGAUGUUACAUUCAUUCAAAUUUAGGUUAAACCAGCAAUCUGUCGUCUGGCAAAUCUCCAACACGCCAAACACUAGGGUCUGCUAAAACCCUCACACUUGUAUAGAGUUUCAAUUAAUUACAAGCUAUAAUAAAAAUUUCAAGCCUUUAAAAGUUACAAAAUGAUUGCAGAAGCUUUUAAUCCCCAACAACCAAGAGACUACACAGGACUAAUCGCCAACUUUAUAUUGUUUUACUAUUUAUGCAUUCUAACAUGCUAUUUUGAUUUUUGCUGCUUGAUUUGUCCCCACCAUUUUUAUUUAUUUUUUUUUAUUCCUCACCACAGCUUUAAGGAACCGCAUGUAAUCUACGAACAAAAACACGCUGGGCAAAUUGAAAAAGGAAGUAAUGUUGCAACGCGACGGCAUUUCUGGACAGGUGCCAAAAAGGAGUUCAAUACGCAAAACGGGAUUUACAUUUUUACCCAUAGGGCAAUAACAGCAAAAAAACAAAAACAAAACAAAAAAACAAAGAUAUGCUCUCCUAAAUAAGAUAAGAUACUUUAACAUAAAUGUGAAUAAUGAAACUCAAAUGAUGGUAAUGUUAGAUUUGGUGCUCUAUAUAAAAAGCUCAUGAUAUACAUUCACCAGCAAUCUUAUUGGGUGCACAUUGCUGGAACAACGAUUCGCUGUGCCAGAAAAAUUCAUCACAUAUUUGGUUCAAAUCAUAUCAAAUGCUUCAUUGUUACGUGCUUCACCAGCUGCACAUCUUUGAUGGGAAUGUCACAUUCAACCGCAUACAAAAAGCUCCACUACUGAACUGAGAUCUGGUGAAUGCAGAAGCCAAACAGAGUGCAGAAAACACACCGUUGAAGAAACCUGCUUUGAGGUCACAAAGACUCCGUUUUAUUCUGCUGGGCGAAGCCACGCCGACGACGUCAUAAACACCGACAUGAAGGCAGGACACAUUUUUGCUUUCAGGUUAUUGUUCACCUUUUAAGUUUCAGUUUCCUGUUCUUAGAUUACGGGAGGGCCGCUCACUGUGGUCUUCUGCUGCUGCAGUCCAUCUGCUUCAAGCUUCGAUGUCUCGUGCAUUCAGAUUUCAUUUGGUAUACCUUGGUUGUAACAUCUAGAGCAUUACCUGGAAACCUGAGCGAUGGUCGUGCAUGGCACACACUGCAAACUCGUUCUUAGAGCAGCAUUUUCGGCCAGAGUUGCACUAACAACCAUGGCAUGUUUAAACUUGCUAAAAAUUCAGUUUCCUUUUCCUGCUGAUGCUCCUCAUGAAGUCCAGUGAGUUGCGUUCACCACACCUAGAUACAUAAAUCUAUUAAAUUACUCCCAUGUGAUUGGCUGAUUCAGUGUUAACAAGCAACAGAGCAGGUGUUCCAAAGUGGCGAGUGGAAUUUCUGUGAAAAACAGUCAUUUAUCCCACAGGGACACUUGACCCAGUUCAUCGGAUCUCCCUACUUCUGCCUGAGAGCAUCCCAACACCAAACGAAUAAAUCGGCUUCUUCCUGAAUGUUUUUUUUUUUUUUUUUUUGGGGAAAAGCUGAGGAUAAAGCAAACUGAAUUUAGCUUUCAGCAUUCUUCUUUUGGAGAAAUAUUUGAAAUUUCUCGUCAUAAGCAGGAAUAAUCGGUGGCAACAAACAACCUGCAUACCAACAACAAAGCACCCUAUACAACAACUAAUCUGCUCCAACUGAAAAUUCUUCAAUAAUGCAGCCUAAUUUGGCAAGAGGCUAAUCCGGAAAAAAAA